rnacentral:rRNA from 1 species
GACGAACGCUGGCGGCGUGCUUAACACAUGCAAGUCGAACGGAAAGGCCCUGCUUGCAGGGUGCUCGAGUGGCGAACGGGUGAGUAACACGUGGGUGAUCUGCCCCUUACUUUGGGAUAAGCCUGGGAAACUGGGUCUAAUACUGGAUAGGACCAUGCUGUAGGUGGUGUGGUGGAAAGAUUAGUUUCGGUAAGGGAUGAGCUCGCGGCCUAUCAGCUUGUUGGUGGGGUAAUGGCCUACCAAGGCGUCGACGGGUAGCCGGCCUGAGAGGGUGGACGGCCACAUUGGGACUGAGAUACGGCCCAGACUCCUACGGGAGGCAGCAGUGGGGAAUAUUGCACGAUGGGCGCAAGCCUGAUGCAGCGACGCCGCGUGGGGGAUGACGGCCUUCGGGUUGUAAACUCCUUUCAGCCAUGACGAAGCCCUUGUGGUGACGGUAGUGGUAGAAGAAGCACCGGCUAACUACGUG